UCUCACUUUUUACUUUUAUGUGGAUUCCAGAGAUUGUCAGGCUGGUGCUGCAAGCAUUUUUUACCUGCUGAAUAUCUAGCUUUCCAUGUUUUUGAAACAGGUCUCUCAGAGGGUAAAGUGCUUGAGGCCCGGAGUUAUAAUCCCCAGCAUCAGUGUAAAAGCUGGGCUUGGUAGCAUGUUUGUAAUCAGUACAAGGUUGGGAGCAGAGACCAAUAAGUUUCUGUAGUCCAGGUUGGCCUUAAACUCACAGAGCUCCGUUUGCCACCUUGUGCUAGGAUUCAAGGCAUGCCCAGCACCUGUGUUCUCUUUGUGUAUGUACAUUACUUGUGUAGAGUUGUGUGCAGAGGCCCUAAGUACCUGGAGUUGCAGGCAGUUGGUUCUAGGAAUUGACUUUGGGUUGUCUAACCACUUAGCUUUCAUCCUUCAGCAGAAACACCCAUCAUUCUUGUGCAUUUCUCAUUCUCAGGAUAACUACUGCUUCACAGUUUGUUAAUGAGUGCAUACCUGUGGAAGUAACUUAUAGAACGUCUUCUCUAAAGAAUAGACUUAAUUAUUUCCAGAUUCAGUUUUAAUAUUGCUUCAUUCUCAGACACUGACUUCAAUCAAAGUCAAUAAAUUUAAUUAAAAAAAUUAGAGCAGGAUAUGGUGGCACAUGACUAAUCUCAGUGAAUAUUGGGAAGUCAGGUUGGGGUCAAGACUUCUAGGGCACCCUCAGCUAUGCCAUGAGUCCAGAGGCCAACCUGUGCUACAUGUAAGUCUCCUAAACAGGCCACCAGCGUUUGCCGGGAUAGUUCUGAGGUUAAGUGCAGUAGCUGCUCUUCUGGAAUUAUUUUCUUGGCCUGAGGUCAGACUACUCACAGUGCCUGUAAUUCCAGCUCCAGGUGAUCUGAUGCCAUCUACUGGUCUCUGAAAGGCUCUUCCAUUCAUAUGUACUUAUUAACACACACAAAACAAACACAAAAACACAUACUUAAAAAAAAAAAAAAGAAACUAGGGAAGUUUCACAGUGAUUAAGAUCACUUGCUGCUCUUGCAGAGGACCUGGAUUCUGUUCCUAGCACUACACUGGGUGGAUUCUGUUCCUAGCACUACACUGGGUGUCUCACAGCUGUGUGGAGCUCCAUUCCAGAGGAAUUCCUUCUGCACAGCUUUCUGGCUUCCACAUAGGCAGACAAGCAGAUACAUACAUACAGAAAUAAAAAUAAUUUUUAAAAGUUCAUUUUUAUUUCAAGUACAUUAAGGUUUUGCCUGCAUGUAUGUCUGUAUGAGAAAUGUUGGAGCUUCUGAAUUGGAGUUACAGAUAGUUGUGAGCUGUCAUGCCAGUCUGGAAAUUAAACCGUGGUCCUUCAUCUUUCCAGCCCCAAAUU
rnacentral:lncRNA from 1 species